rnacentral:rRNA from 1 species
UAGAGAUAUAGUGGAGGUUAUCAUGGAGACAGGUGGUGCAUGGUUGUCGUCAGCUCGUGUCGUGAGAUGUUGGUUAAGUCCCGCAACGAGCGCAACCCUUAUUGCUAGUUACCAUCAUUAAGUUGGGGACUCUAGCGAGACUGCCAGUGAUAAACUGGAGGAAGGUGGGGAUGACGUCAAAUCAUCAUGCCCCUUAUGACCUGGGCUACAAACGUGAUACAAUGGCUGAAACAAAGGGCAGCGAAGCAGUGAUGUGAAGCGAAACCCAAAAAGCAGUCUCAGUUCGGAUUGAAGUCUGCAACUCGACUUCAUGAAGUCGGAAUCGCUAGUAAUCGCGAAUCAGAACGUCGCGGUGAAUACGUUCUCGGGGUUU